CAGUGACAUAUUUUAAGAUCGAGCAGUGCUAGUUGCUUUCAGUUAAAACAGGUCAAACAUGCAUUUUAGUCUAGGACUAGUCUUAGGCCUUGGCCUGUGACCUCAGACCACAGGAAACAGCCUUAUUUGGAAGAAAAUAAAAUAGCCCUCUGUCUCGACUCUUCUCUUAACCAGUGUUUUAAUAAUAGCAUGGUGAUUUGAUGCUCACUCAGAAUCCUAACGAACAGUGCUUUUGUAUUUCUCUCAGUCUCUCACAUUUUAAAUGGUGUAGACCUUUUUCAUCCAGUCCACUUCUUUUCUAAUGAGUCUUCAUUAAGAAGGGCAAACUCAGGAACGUGAUGGGACCUCUACUACUUAAAUUGCUUUUACAAGCUGUUAUUCUGUCUGAUGCUUUGGCAUGGAGAGUGACAAUGCCAAAAAGCAUUCGUGGCCUCCAGGGUUCCUGUCUGGUUAUACCAUGUUCUUUCUCUUACUAUUCAUACCCACCCAAAAACCCACGUAGAGUUGUGUGGUAUCAGUGGGUCUCUAGAGGUUAUCCUUUAGUUUAUGAUCCAUGGUAUCCAAAUCAUGUCAUUGAUAAGUUUAGACGGAAAACUUCUUUAUAUGGAAACCCAUCAAACUGGGAUUGCAGUCUGCUGAUUACAAACCUGGAACAGUCUCACCAUGGAGAGAAAAUAUAUGCAUGGAUUGACCCUGAAAAUGUUGGGUGGCGCACCUACGCAUUUUAUGAU